rnacentral:lncRNA from 1 species
UCAAAUUGCAACUCUCUGGAGUUUGGAAGGCUCCCUCUCCACCCACUUUCCACCUGGCAAGAUUUGCAUAAAUACUCAAACUGCAUGGCUCAAAUGUUUUAGCCUACGGUAGAACAAUUUCAGACAAAUUGAUCAUGUUCAACAGCAAUGAGAGGUAUUCAGCAUCCAGAUUCUCUUGCUUUCUAAAUCUGGAUCUGCCUACCAGGCCAUCUAAAAAAGGGAUGUAA